GUUAUUCCUUAUUACUGCCCCCAAAGCGCACGCAGGCGGUCUGUCAAGUCGGAUGUGAAAUCCCCGGGCUCAACCUGGGAACUGCAUUCGAAACUGGCAGGCUAGAGUCUUGUAGAGGGGGGUAGAAUUCCAGGUGUAGCGGUGAAAUGCGUAGAGAUCUGGAGGAAUACCGGUGGCGAAGGCGGCCCCCUGGACAAAGAC
rnacentral:rRNA from 1 species